AUCCUGGCUCAGAUUGAACGCUGGCGGCAUGCUUUACACAUGCAAGUCGAACGGUAACAGGCCGCAAGGUGCUGACGAGUGGCGAACGGGUGAGUAAUGCAUCGGAACGUGCCCAGUCGUGGGGGAUAACGCAGCGAAAGCUGUGCUAAUACCGCAUACGAUCUAUGGAUGAAAGCGGGGGACCGUAAGGCCUCGCGCGAUUGGAGCGGCCGAUGUCAGAUUAGGUAGUUGGUGGGGUAAAGGCUCACCAAGCCAACGAUCUGUAGCUGGUCUGAGAGGACGACCAGCCACACUGGGACUGGGACACGGCCCCAGACUCCUACGGGAGGCAGCAGUGGGGAAUUUUGGACAAUGGGCGCAAGCCUGAUCCAGCAAUGCCGCGUGCAGGAAGAAGGCCUUCGGGUUGUAAACUGCUUUUGUACGGAACGAAAAGGCUCUGGUUAAUACCUGGGGCUCAUGACGGUACCGUAAGAAUAAGCACCGGCUAACUACGUG
rnacentral:rRNA from 1 species